rnacentral:rRNA from 1 species
UGAGGGAUAUUGGUCAAUGGGCGCAAGCCUGAACCAGCGACGCCGCGUGGGUGAAGAAGGUCUUCGGAUCGUAAAGCCCUUUUCCCACUGAAGAGGAAGGACGGUAGGUGGGGAAGAAGUCUCGGCUAACUACGUGCCAGCAGCCGCGGUAAAACGUAGGACCCAAGCGUUGUCCGGAUUUACUGGGUGUAAAGGGUGCGCAGGCGGAUGGGUGAGUCAGGGGUGAAAGUCUGCAGCUUAACUGUAGAAUUGCCUUUGAUACUGCUCAUCUUGAGUGUGGGAGAGGUUGAUGGAAUUCCAGGUGUAGCAGUGAAAUGCGUAGAUAUCUGGAAGAACACCAGUGGCGAAGGCGGUCAACUGGCCCAUAACUGACGCUCGUGCACGAAAGCGUGGGGAGCAAACA